GAUGAACGCUGGCGGCGUGCCUAAUACAUGCAAGUCGAACGAACAGACCCGGCGCUUGCUCCUCUCACGUUAGCGGCGGACGGGUGUGUAACACGUGGAUCCCCUCCCUAUCAGACUGGGAUCACUUCGGGACACCGGCUCUAAUCCCGGAUAAUCUCUUGAUCCGCGUGGUUCAAUAGUGAGAGUCGGUUUUUCUGUCUCUUCUCGCUGGUUCUGGGCCGUAUUAGCUAGUUGGUAAGGUAACGGCUUAGCAAGGCAACGAUGCGUGGCCGACCUGAUAGGGUGAUCGGCGACACGGGAGCUGGGACACGGACCAGACGCCUACGGGAGGCAGCAGUAGGGAACGGUCCGCAGUGGGCGAAAACCUGACGGAGCAACGCCGCGUGAGUGAUGAAGGUCCUCGGAGCGUAAAACUCGGUUAUGAGGGAAGAACAAAUGUGGAAGUAACUAAGCACGUCGUGACGGUACCGAAUAAGAAAGCCACGGCUAACUACGUG
rnacentral:rRNA from 1 species